UACGAAGGGGGCUAGCGUUGCUCGGAAUGACUGGGCGUAAAGGGCGCGUAGGCGGAUGGCACAGUCAGAUGUGAAAUUCCCGGGCUUAACCUGGGAACUGCAUUUGUGACUGCAUCGCUGGAGUGCGGCAGAGGGGGAUGGAAUUCCGCGUGUAGCAGUGAAAUGCGUAGAUAUCCGGAGGAACACCAAUGGCGAAGGCAGUGUCCUGGGAAGUACCUGACGCUCAGGUGCGAAAGCUAGGGGAGCGAACAGG
rnacentral:rRNA from 1 species